AACCAGCACCUCAAGUGGUCAGGAUGAUUAUUGGGCCUAAAGCAUCCGUAGCCGGCUCUGUAAGUUUUCGGUUAAAUCUGUACGCUCAACGUACAGGCUGCCGGGAAUACUGCAGAGCUAGGGAGUGGGAGAGGUAGACGGUACUCGGUAGGAAGGGGUAAAAUCCUUUGAUCUAUUGAUGACCACCUGUGGCGAAGGCGGCCUCCUGGACUGACACUGACGCUGAGGUGCGAAAGCGUGGGGAGCAAACAGG
rnacentral:rRNA from 1 species